UACGUAGGGUGCGAGCGUUAAUCGGAAUUACUGGGCGUAAAGCGAGCGCAGACGGUUACUUAAGCAGGAUGUGAAAUCCCCGGGCUUAACCUGGGAACUGCGUUCUGAACUGGGUAGCUAGAGUAUGUCAGAGGGGGGUAGAAUUCCACGUGUAGCAGUGAAAUGCGUAGAGAUGUGGAGGAAUACCGAUGGCGAAGGCAGCCCCCUGGGAUAAUACUGACGUUCAUGCUCGAAAGCGUGGGUAGCAAACAGG
rnacentral:rRNA from 2 species